GUUACACAGCAGUAUCCAUUCUUCAAGAAUUUUCAGCUGAGUCUCUUAAGAAAAGCUACACUGCCAGCCAGUUCAAGAUGCUCUACCACUUACCAGCAUGUGGGCCUUGUGUAUCCACACCUCCUCAAAGCCAAUCUCCAGAACUGAUGAGAGGAAUUUGCUUCCCUUUCUUAUUGACAUAGGGUUUCCAGUUGUAUUAAAGGAAGCAAAUUGGCAGAUCGACACCAGCAGCUCAUACAGGAUGAUACAGUGUGACGAAUCUCACAGGGAUGAGCCGGGGGACCACCAAAGUACAAUAAACUGAUGAAAACACGACAGGCAAACAGAGACCAUGAUUGAUCAAGAUGCAGAGAACAAUUGACUUUGGAAUGCCAUGUUCCAAUUAAUAUAUCCAGAAUACAAGUCUUGCACCUAAGACUCCGAGAACAUGGCAGAUGACAAUCUAGCAAGAUUAUGAGAGCCAGAGGACUAGGAAAUCUGCUGUGAGAUUGUGCCUUCUAAGAAAGUUAACCUGCAAGAUGUGAAGACUUCCAAGAGCACUUAAUAUGCCAGUUGAUGGAGAAAAUCCCAUAGGGCCUUGACCCUAGAUAAAGACUUAGAGACAGUUAACAGCAGUUGAGAGAGGGAGAAUUAGUCUUCCCUAGAGAUGAGCCCCCUGAUUGGUUAUCCAAUACUGAUUGGCCAAACCUAGAACAUAUAUGUAUAUGUAUAAGCAAUAGUGGUUAAAGACAUGGAGGCUAUAAAUUUAAGGGUCAAUGCCCAACAUUGCAGGGGUAGGAGGGAGGAGAGGGAAGGGAGAAUUGAUACAACUGCAUUUUAAUUUUUGGAAGAGAAGAAAAACAUACUUAUUUCAACGUAUGUUAAUGGGUAAAUUAGGCAAUUUAUAAUAAAUUUCCUAUAUAAGAACUAAAAGAAUAAAUAUGUAGAUUUAUCAAGAAAUGUGUGUGUGUGAGAGAGAGAGAUGCUAUCUUAUUUUCUGAGGCUUAAUUAGAUAAUGUUUUGUUUGUCUCUAUAUGUCACAUUAAUUAAAAGUGUUGAGUGUGUAAAAUUGUAUAUGCAGAGAUCUACAUAGUUAUGAUUUGUAUACUUUGAUAAUAUCUAUAUCUGUAUCAAUCUAUACAAACAUAGAUAGAUAGAUAGAUAGAUAGAUAGAUAGAUAGAUAGAUAAAUAGAUAAAUAGAUAGAUAGAUAGAUUCUUUCUAUAUAUUCUACCUCAAUAAAUCCUCUAGGGAAAACUUACACUUGAGCUCCAGGUUCUAGCUGCACAAACUGGUCAAGCAAAGCUGAUGUGACAGGAGUGAUUAGGCCUUCAAUGGAAGCCAUUCUGUGUCAGGGCCUGAGCCUAGUUACAUGCUGUUUAGAACAGCAGAAAUUGGGCAUAUGUUGAAGAAAAUCACAAGGAGACAUGUCCAUGGCCUGUGAGGGGAAAUGAAGAUCUGAGAACAGCUGGUUAUAUAGGUUCAGAUGCUGCCAGGGAAGCCAAUGUUUAAGGAAAGAAUCUGUAUAAAGCAACAGCUUUAGAAGGAUGAUGAGUGUCAUGCCUUUAUGUUUUCCUUGUAAUUUUCACUUAAACCUUAUUUCUCACUAUUGGUGCCAGCUCUGUAUUUUUCUCUGAUGCUUUGUAGUUGAGUUCAAUGUGUAGUCAGACAAUGCCAGAAAGUGAGGUGCCUGACUCUGUUCAAUGUUCUCUGAUGCAAUAAAGACCUCUGCUUGUUCACUCUUGUACAGCACACACUUGUACCCCUCUGCUGUGAAAAUAAGCUUGCUGUUUCAUUUAUUAAUCAGUAAACAAAGAGUCUAACCUAAUGACUAAAGUAGCUUUCUGAAAAAGUGUUGACAGUUAAAAAAUAAACAACUCAUAUGGAACCCA